GAACGCUGGCGGCGUGCCUAAAACAUGCAAGUAGAACGCUGAAGGAGGAGCUUGCUUCUCUGGAUGAGUUGCGAACGGGUGAGUAACGCGUAGGUAACCUGCCUGGUAGCGGGGGAUAACUAUUGGAAACGAUAGCUAAUACCGCAUAAGAGUAGAUGUUGCAUGACAUUUGCUUAAAAGGUGCACUUGCAUCACUACCAGAUGGACCUGCGUUGUAUUAGCUAGUUGGUGGGGUAAGGGCUCACCAAGGCGACGAUACAUAGCCGACCUGAGAGGGUGAUCGGCCACACUGGGACUGAGACACGGCCCAGACUCCUACGGGAGGCAGCAGUAGGGAAUCUUCGGCAAUGGACGGAAGUCUGACCGAGCAACGCCGCGUGAGUGAAGAAGGUUUUCGGAUCGUAAAGCUCUGUUGUAAGAGAAGAACGAGUGUGAGAGUGGAAAGUUCACACUGUGACGGUAUCUUACCAGAAAGGGACGGCUAACUACGUGCCAGCAGCCGCGGUAAUACGUAGGUCCCGAGCGUUGUCCGGAUUUAUUGGGCGUAAAGCGAGCGCAGGCGGUUAGAUAAGUCUGAAGUUAAAGGCUGUGGCUUAACCAUAGUAGGCUUUGGAAACUGUUUAACUUGAGUGCAAGAGGGGAGAGUGGAAUUCCAUGUGUAGCGGUGAAAUGCGUAGAUAUAUGGAGGAACACCGGUGGCGAAAGCGGCUCUCUGGCUUGUAACUGACGCUGAGGCUCGAAAGCGUGGGUAGCAAACAGGAUUAGAUACCCUGGUAGUCCACGCCCUAAACGAUGUCAAUUAGCUGUUGGACAACUUGAUUGCUUAGUAGCGUAGCUAACGCGUGAAAUUGACCGAACUGGGGAGUACGGUCGCAAGAUUA
rnacentral:rRNA from 1 species